AUUGAACGCUGGCGGCAUGCUUUACACAUGCAAGUCGAACGGCAGCGCGGGCUUCGGCCUGGCGGCGAGUGGCGAACGGGUGAGUAAUGCAUCGGAACGUGCCCAGUAGUGGGGGAUAGCCCGGCGAAAGCCGGAUUAAUACCGCAUACGACCUGAGGGUGAAAGCGGGGGACCGAAAGGCCUCGCGCUAUUGGAGCGGCCGAUGUCGGAUUAGCUAGUUGGUGGGGUAAAGGGUUACCAAGGCGACGAGCCGUAGCUGGUCUGAGAGGACGACCAGCCACACUGGGACUAAGACACGGCCCAGACUCCUACGGGAGGCAGCAGUGGGGAAUUUUGGACAAUGGGGGCAACCCUGAUCCAGCCAUGCCGCGUGCGGGAAGAAGGCCUUCGGGUUGUAAACCGCUUUUGUUCGGGAAGAAAUCCUCUGGGCUAAUACCCCGGGGGGAUGACGGUACCGGAAGAAUAAGCACCGGCUAACUACGUG
rnacentral:rRNA from 1 species